rnacentral:rRNA from 1 species
AGCGAACGCUGGCGGCAGGCCUAACACAUGCAAGUCGAACGAACUCUUCGGAGUUAGUGGCGGACGGGUGAGUAACACGUGGGAACGUGCCUUUAGGUUCGGAAUAACUCAGGGAAACUU